rnacentral:rRNA from 1 species
AUGAACGCUGGCGGCGUGCCUAAUACAUGCAAGUCGAGCGAACAGACGAGGAGCUUGCUCCUCUGACGUUAGCGGCGGACGGGUGAGUAACACGUGGAUAACCUACCUAUAAGACUGGGAUAACUUCGGGAAACCGGAGCUAAUACCGGAUAAUAUAUUUAACCGCAUGGGUCAAUAGUGAAAGACGGUUUUGCUGUCACUUAUAGAUUGAUCCGCGCCGCAUUAGCUAGUUGGUAAGGUAACGGCUUACCAAGGCAACGAUGCGUAGCCGACCUGAGAGGGUGAUCGGCCACACUGGAACUGAGACACGGUCCAGACUCCUACGGGAGGCAGCAGUAGGGAAUCUUCCGCAAUGGGCGAAAGCCUGACGGAGCAACGCCGCGUGAGUGAUGAAGGUCUUCGGAUCGUAAAACUCUGUUAUUAGGGAAGAACAAAUGUGUAAGUAACUAUGCACGUCUUGACGGUACCUAAUCAGAAAGCCACGGCUAACUACGUG